GUUUGUGAAAAUUCUCCGCAUUAAUUUUAAUCAAGGUUUUUCAAAAUCAGCAGCAGGAUCAGAACAUGGCCAGGAAUAGGAUAAAUUGAUUGAUCAGUGAACCUGCUUCGUACCUAGAAGAAAGUGCACUGGAUUUUCAGCUGUGAGAAACGGAUUAUGGAAGAGAUCCGCAACACAUAAUCACCGGUAGUGUUGUUCCGAUCCGAGAAAUGACUGCGAAGUAAUGUUAUCAUUCAGAGGGAAGACAGAGCGCAAGAGGAAUCAAAAUUUCCCUGUUGAUCGGCUGGGUACAAUCCAACGAGAAAAGAGGAAUGAAGAAUUACAGGUCACCAAAAUGCCAGGCCGCAAACAAAAUACACUUUUGAACUAUUGUACAAUUUCUGGAACCUAUCUGUCCCAAACGAUCAUCAUUCGGUAAUUUAAAGAAUGUGUAAG